rnacentral:rRNA from 1 species
AUGGAGGCCGCGGGAGAUCCUCUCCAAGGUCAAGCAUGUCCAGGCCAAGCUUGCUGGCCGCCCUCGCGGGUGACUACCUCCGCGGUGACGACGACGGCCUUGUCGUCCCCGGAGACCAUGAUGCCCCUCAAGGCCGACCUCCGCCACGUGAGUGAUCCGUCGAUCUCGUCUCUCCAACAGUGUUCUGGAUGCAUGCACGAGUUCGACCUGGACAAUCCGCUGGUGCUGCAGGUGGUGGCGGAUUUCUUCAGUGGCCACAGAAUCGAGGACUUUACCUUCAGCAGGGCAGGCUGUCAGAAUGGCGGUGCCGGCCAAAGCUAG